rnacentral:rRNA from 1 species
AGAGUUUGAUCCUGGCUCAGGAUGAACGCUGGCGGCGUGCCUAAUACAUGCAAGUCGAACGCUUUGUGGUUCAACUGAUUUGAAGAGCUUGCUCAGAUAUGACGAUGGACAUUGCAAAGAGUGGCGAACGGGUGAAUAACACGUGGGAAACCUACCUCUUAGCAGGGGAUAACAUUUGGAAACAGAUGCUAAUACCGUAUAACAAUGACAACCGCAUGGUUGUUAUUUAAAAGAUGGUUCUGCUAUCACUAAGAGAUGGUCCCGCGGUGCAUUAGCUAGUUGGUAAGGUAAUGGCUUACCAAGGCGAUGAUGCAUAGCCGAGUUGAGAGACUGAUCGGCCACAAUGGGACUGAGACACGGCCCAUACUCCUACGGGAGGCAGCAGUAGGGAAUCUUCCACAAUGGGCGAAAGCCUGAUGGAGCAACGCCGCGUGUGUGAUGAAGGGUUUCGGCUCGUAAAACACUGUUGUAAGAGAAGAAUGACAUUGAGAGUAACUGUUCAAUGUGUGACGGUAUCUUACCAGAAAGGAACGGCUAAAUACGUGCCAGCAGCCGCGGUAAUACGUAUGUUCCAAGCGUUGUCCGGAUUUAUUGGGCGUAAAGCGAGCGCAGACGGUUAUUUAAGUCUGAAGUGAAAGCCCUCAGCUCAACUGAGGAAUUGCUUUGGAAACUGGAUGACUUGAGUGCAGUAGAGGAAAGUGGAACUCCAUGUGUAGCGGUGAAAUGCGUAGAUAUAUGGAAGAACACCAGUGGCGAAGGCGGCUUUCUGGACUGUAACUGACGUUGAGGCUCGAAAGUGUGGGUAGCAAACAGGAUUAGAUACCCUGGUAGUCCACACCGUAAACGAUGAGUGCUAGGUGUUUGAGGGUUUCCGCCCUUCAGUGCCGGAGCUAACGCAUUAAGCACUCCGCCUGGGGAGUACGACCGCAAGGUUGAAACUCAAAGGAAUUGACGGGGGCCCGCACAAGCGGUGGAGCAUGUGGUUUAAUUCGAAGCUACGCGAAGAACCUUACCAGGUCUUGACAUCUUGCGCCAACCCUAGAGAUAGGGCGUUUCCUUCGGGAACGCAAUGACAGGUGGUGCAUGGUCGUCGUCAGCUCGUGUCGUGAGAUGUUGGGUUAAGUCCCGCAACGAGCGCAACCCUUAUUACUAGUUGCCAGCAUUAAGUUGGGCACUCUAGUGAGACUGCCGGUGACAAACCGGAGGAAGGUGGGGACGACGUCAGAUCAUCAUGCCCCUUAUGACCUGGGCUACACACGUGCUACAAUGGACGGUACAACGAGCAGCGAACUCGCGAGGGCAAGCAAAUCUCUUAAAACCGUUCUCAGUUCGGAUUGCAGGCUGCAACUCGCCUGCAUGAAGUCGGAAUCGCUAGUAAUCGCGGAUCAGCAUGCCGCGGUGAAUACGUUCCCGGGCCUUGCACUCACCGCCCGUCA